AACGUAGGACGCAAGCGUUAUCCGGAGUUACUGGGCGUAAAGGGCGCGUAGGCGGCACGACAAGUCGGGAGUGAAAGCCCGGGGCUCAACCCCGGAGGGUCUCUCGAUACUGUCGAGCUAGAGUGCGGAAGAGGCAACCGGAAUUCUCAGUGUAGCGGUGAAAUGCGUAGAUAUUGAGAAGAACACCAGAGGCGAAGGCGGGUUGCUGGGCCGACACUGACGCUGAGGCGCGAAAGCCAGGGGAGCAAACAGG
rnacentral:rRNA from 1 species